UGGGGAAUCUUGCGCAAUGGGCGAAAGCCUGACGCAGCGACGCCGCGUGAGUGAUGAAGGCCUUCGGGUUGUAAAGCUCUGUGGGGAGGAAAGAAUAAGUGCGUCCUAAUCAGCGCAUGAUGACGGUACCUCCUUAGCAAGCACCGGCUAACUCUGUGCCAGCAGCCGCGGUAAGACAGAGGGUGCAAACGUUGUUCGGAAUUACUGGGCGUAAAGCGUGUGUAGGCGGUGAGGUAAGUCGGAUGUGAAAGCCCAGGGCUCAACCCUGGAAGUGCACUCGAUACUGCUUCGCUUGAGUACUGGAGAGGUUGGUGGAAUUCUCGGUGUAGAGGUGAAAUUCGUAGAUAUCGAGAGGAACAUCUGUGGCGAAGGCGGCCAACUGGACAGAUACUGACGCUGAGACACGAAAGUGUGGGGAGCAAACAG
rnacentral:rRNA from 1 species